CGACCACGCGCGGGAGAGUCCCCGGUCACCGGGGCGCCGAAGGAGCAAGUCCUCCCUUGAAUCUCUCAGGCCCCGCACCGCGCGCGGGAG
rfam:Streptomyces sp. MP131-18 scaf_01, whole genome shotgun sequence.